CUGAAAUUUCUUGGUGUUUGAUUGCGACUGAGAAAAAGAUUUAGAAGAAGAGAUCACUUUAGAUAUCAUAAAGAAAGAUUUUACUAUUCAAUAGUCCACCCAAGGAGUUAAAAAAUUAGUAUGUUCUGAAAGAUUGCAAAAAGGCCAAUAGAAGUUUGCCCUGGACUGGGGCCCAGUUUUCUAAGAGUGGCAUUAAGCUGAGAUUGUGGCCAGUGCAUUGGUUUCACUCAGCCUUGCUGUUGGUACCUGCUGCUCACCCUCAAGGACAGCCAGGGAGAAGACCGCUGUGGUGUAGCAAUAAAACCAGAGCAAGGUGCUAAGGCCAAUUGGCCAGAAAAAUAUCUUUGACAGCCUUACUCAUUCCCAAGGGAUGACAGAGGCAGAAAAUGUAUUGAAAAGCUAGUGUUUCUGUGAGCUAAUCACAAAGCUGGAGAAAAGCAUCUUGUGAAUGAACAGCUUGAAGUCAAAAGGCAGCUCUGCUGAGUAUGUCAGAGCUUCUCAAACUUGCAAAAGCACCUGCAGAUGCUCUUUGAAGGGACUUGGCCUGCAGCUGAAGAUCCUGCAUUAUUAUCAUGAGCUCAGGUGAGGCAGGAGCUUGGAAUCCAAGAA
rnacentral:lncRNA from 1 species